rnacentral:rRNA from 1 species
CUGGUGAGUAACACGUGGGUAACCUACCUAUAAGACUGGGAUAACUCCGGGAAACCGGGGCUAAUACCGGAUAACACAUGAAACCGCAUGGUUUCAUGAUGAAAGACGGUUUUGCUGUCACUUAUAGAUGGACCCGCGGCGUAUUAGCUAGUUGGUAAGGUAACGGCUUACCAAGGCAACGAUACGUAGCCGACCUGAGAGGGUGAUCGGCCACACUGGAACUGAGACACGGUCCAG